CUAUUUUGUAUUUUUAAUUAAAUAAAUAUUCUUUUCCCUGCUCCCAAAUUCAUUUGAUCAAAUUGUACGAAAAGAAUAAUCAAUGGUAGAUGCUAUUACUAUGGGUUUUAAAUUGAAAUUCUCAAAGAUGUGUAUAUAUCUCUCUCUAUCUCUCUCUUUAUUUUACUUUUUCUCAACUUAAAAAAACACAAUAAAGAAUACAUUUUAAUUAAUUAAUCAGCUUUAUUUAUACGUAAUUACUAAUGGAGCUAUACCUAAUAAAACACGAUCACAUAUAUAUUCAAUACAUCCUAUUCUCACCAUACAUUCAAAGCCCUUAAUAAUUCCUAAUUAGUGUAUUAGACGAAUGCAAAUGAUUACAUUAGAAUUUCUAUAUAAAAUUUAUUGUAAGAGGUAUAAACUUACGUUGUAAAAAUAAGUUUUAGCCACAUAGCUUUAAUUUGUAUAUUUAUAAAAGUAAAGAAAAACAAACACAAACUAAAAUUACCCGUAGUAUAUAAUUGGAGCGAUAAUUGGGUUUUGAUAAGAAUUGUUACUUUUAAUAAUGGAAAUUGCGGAAAAAAUCAUUGAAAAAAGAAUUGGCCUACAAAUAUUGUUUCCUUAUUCUACAAAGAAUUCAGAACAUACAAUUUUUUUUUUGGAAUUAUUAUAAAAUGCAUCGACUAUCAUUAGAAAUCUGAUAAAAGUAUCCUGGAUCACUUGAGAAUGCCAAAAAUGACCAUUCGAAAUAAAAAAGGAAAGGGGAUUGCAGCGUUUGUCAACCCAACUUCCGGAAAGGAAAACCCUUCAUUAAAAAUAACACAGAAGAUGUAGAGGAUUUGGUGCAUGCGCUCUUAUGUUUUUCAAUAUUAUUUGUACAGUAUUUUCCUACGAAGUAUUCUCAGUACCGAAUGGCCUUUAAACUUUUCUUAGCUUCUCUACAUUUUGGCGAGGAAACAGAAUUAUAAAUUAUUUAGAUAAAUAAUGUCUGUUGAGAAGGAUAUGGACAACGUCAAUUUAUCUAUGAUUAAUAGAAAAGACAGUGCAAAUGCUUCUAACGACAGCAUCUAUAAUGGUUUGGAAGGAGCAUUAGUUCUUGGUAAAAAAAGUACCUCUGAAGUUAAAUAUCAUACGAGAUACGCAAUAGAAAGAAAACAACAGAAUCAUGAAUCUUUCAAGGAAUCUCUAGAGGAGUUUUUCCUUCCUUGCUGCUCGGAUGAAAACAACGAAAAUAAUACUAUUUUUAAAAAGAUUAUAAGUUUUGUAACGUCUGAACCGUUUAUAUUAACUCUACAUCUGACAGCUGUUAUACUGGGUGUGCUAAAAAUACUAUUGGAGGUUAGAGAGAAAAACGGCGAAGAAAUUGAAGAGGCCCAUUCAGCAUUAGAAUGUAUUGGAGUUUGCAUUGUUCUUGGAUUAAGAACUUGGAUAAUAAACAAUAAUUUUCAUGAAAUUAAAACUCUUCGAAUUAACAUUGAAAAAGCUGAUGAAAAAGAUACAAUCAGAGGGCAAAAGUUAAAAGUCUUUGUUAGAAUAUAUUCCGCAAUAAUGAUAUUUUUUUGUUUAACAUCAAUCGGAUGUACAAUAGCUUUCAAGCUUCUUGCACAUUUAGGUUGGACUAUUCUAUCUAACAAUUGCCUAUUAGCUAUGGGAACUGGACUAUUUGGAAUAGCUUUAAGUUUUACUGGCAGAAAACUAUCGAAGAUAAAAGGAGACCAUCAAAAACUUCUAAUAUGUGAAAUGUCAUUAUUAUUGUCGGAAGUACUUUUGGCUAAAGACAAAACGGAAAAAGAUGCUAUGAAUAAAAAAGUAGAGAAAUUCCUAAAAGCCUUAAAAGAUACACCAGAAUUUGAAAAGCCUCAAUAUCUAAAUUGCGAUAGGAAGAUAACUGAAAAAGAAAUUUCGAUGCUACAAAUAGUUUCAUAUCUCUAGGAAAAGUGCAUUUGUUAUCUCCUGCAUUAUUGUUGUUAAACAUAAAGUCAUUGUUCAAUUCAAUUAUCUUAAAAGUAUUAGUAGAGUAACUAGUUAAAACUGUCUUUUCUGUGAGAUAGUAUUAUCCUCGUUAUCUAAAGACCUUCCGCCAAGCUCUCCUCAGAUGAUAACUGCUUCACAGGUACUUUUUGAGCAAAAUUCGCUUCAUCCUUCGAAUAUCUUAAAAUUUCGGGAGAAAAGCAAAUCAAUUAAUAAAACAAUGGAUGUAAGAAUAUUCUAAAAUAAAAGAAAUAAAUAAUAAUACCGUCUUUGUUACUAUCAAGAUUCAAUAUUAUAGUUCUCUAAAAUAAGGCCUAUUUUACACAUGUUAUUUUCUCAAUCUUCUUUAAAUUACAAUCAUAACAGUUUAUUCACCCUAAAGAUAUUCGCCAGAUGUGACAGUUUAAGCUAUAAAAGAGUAAAUUAGGGAUAGGCCCCAACUAUACUGUAGUUUAAAAUAAGUCAUCUAUAAAUCAGAUAUUAACUUUUAUUCAGUGACAGCACCGAUGAUGAACCGUAUUAAAGCUUUAUUCUCUCUCUCUCUCUCGCUCUCUCCUGCUGAGAGUGUAGGUUGAAUAAUUUGUUUAUAGAAGAAACUAGACACGCUAACUAGAGUCAGAUUAUUCAAGUCAAGCUAAGAAUAUCCAACACUAAUCAGAAUUAUUCUCUCUAAAAGAUGAUUGACAGUAAAAAUUCAAAGGAAAUGUUAUUAUUGGACAUCUGCUAUUAAUAGAUAAGUAUUAAUAGUAACAUAUCUAUCGAUGAUAUAAAAUUUUUAAAUUGUUAUAAUAACAAUUGAUGGAAGUUAAAGAAAGAUCUGAACUCUUUAACCCUGUACAAUUUGAAGGUUUAUGCUGAUUAUUGUAAAAUGUUUACACACGCUGAUUACUAAGUAACAAAAUACAAUUUAUAACUUUCUUAAAGAAUCUAAAAAAUGUCUAUGGGAAACAGCCAGUCAAUAAAUUACUCUAAUAAUAUUGAUGAAUGCUCUUCUAACAAAAGUGAAACUGUACCACAUUCUUGAUUGCUGAAAUAUAUAAUCAGUCAUUAAUGAGAUUCCUAUAUCCUGAGGGAUAGUAUUUUAAUCCUGAGAUAAACUGUGCAAUGCUAAAAUGUCCGUUAUUCUAUUUAAUGGCAGGCUGUUAGGGAGAAUGAACGAAAAGUAAACCUCUGAAAAUACUCUUUAUAGAGGUUAAAGAUUUCGCCAAAGAGAAGAUGAUAAGUUAGUCAAUUGCAAUUCAACAAUAAGUCCUUCAUGAUAUCCAAAAUACGAAAGUGCGGAAUAGAAAAUCGAAUUUUAGCCAGCAUGCAUAAAUCGUUGGAAAUUAGUAUAAACAUAAAAAAAUCUGGAAUGUAUUUAUUUUCAACGGCUCACAUAUUAGAUAGUUAUUUAGGUCACGUAUUGUCUUUUAAAAAUGUAAGAAAUAUAUUUACGUUAUCUACCUUUAGGCCAAUAAAUGAUAAUGGAACAUAUACAAUUAAAAGAAUUGGCUUAUUCACAAUAACUAAUGGAAAAUACAAGAUAUCUUCUUAUUUCUAUUAUCUGGAUAUUAGUUAUUUAUUUCGGUUCUACUCUCAAUUAGCAAUAAUAUUAGUAAUGAAAUGUUAUAGUUGACAAAAAUUCCA
rnacentral:misc_RNA from 1 species